GACGUAGGGGGCCAGCGUUGCUCGGAAUUACUGGGCGUAAAGGGUCCGUAGGCGGUGCGGUAAGUCGGGAGUGAAAUCUCUGGGCUUAACUCAGAGGCUGCUUCCGAAACUACCGUGCUAGAGUGCGAGAGAGGCAAGUGGAAUUGCGGGUGUAGCGGUGAAAUGCGUAGAUAUCCGCAGGAACAUCCGAGGCGAAAGCGGCUUGCUGGAUCGCAACUGACGCUGAGGGAUGAAAGCUAGGGGAGCAAACAGG
rnacentral:rRNA from 1 species